AUGGCAACCAAUUCUUUGAAGUUUACUUUGAUGUUUAUUUUCAUCUUUGCUAUGGCUUUGUCUCCUACUUUACCAUGCGAUGCUGCACGUGAUCUUAUUAGGCCACCUAUAUGUCCUGCUUGUGUGUGUUGCAGUCCACCACCUGCAGGCUCUUGCUGCAGCUGUUGUGCUUCUGCUAUUCCACCUAAAACAGAUCAGAGCAUUGGGCAAUCUCCAUAA